rnacentral:ncRNA from 1 species
GAAUAUUAGAUUUUCUUAAUGUUCUGCACACAAUCCAACAACUCGGCAACAGGACGUUGCCGAGAGUUCGAGCUGAGCCAUGGAUGGCGAAUCUCGAACGUUUGCGUUAUUAUGCAACGGCUUACAUCAGAACAUUUAGAAAAUCUUAUAUUCA